CCACCAUUUAUGACACGCCGAACAGAGAAUUUCCUAGACAAAUCGCCAUAAUUUUGCCAUUGUUUUUGUGUACAUUUGGACAGCUCAGGAAAUUGAACCACCACCACCAAGGUCAAGUUACCAAGUUCUAGCUACCACACCGCAAAGUUGCCACAUCACCUUAGCGUCACCACAUCUGUUGUAAACCCCCUCACCACUGCCAGUCACUUCUAUAUUUUGCCACGCCAUAAAUUGCCAUACCAGAGUUUUCCUUGCCAUGAAACUGCAAUACAUUAUCCACCCAAAUUGUGUCACAGGAUUGAAACUUCAUUUGCUACUGUUAGUCGUUAAAGUAACACUGGUUUAUUUUACAUCAUCUGAAAUUGGUGCGUGUCAUUGCUGAGCAUUUCAAGUUUCGAUGAUCUGUAGUGCAGAGGCUAUAUGUACAUGUAUAUGUACAGUGUGGUAGUUACUGUAUGUGCAUGAGUACACGUAAACAUUUGUACAUGCACUGGUAUUGCUGUACAUGUAGGGACAUGUACAUGUAUGCACAGAUACAUGUUUACACUUUUAAAUGGUUAUAGCAUUCUUUGGAGCUGCAUUUUUUAGAGAUCAUCAAAUUUAUUAUACUACUGAUUUAACACUUAGGCUGAGGUCUCUGACAUGGCAUGGGGGAGUAAUCCCUGCAGAUGAAAUCUGGUUGAAGUUUGGUGGUGACAAGGGAGGAAACUUUUUUAAGCUUUGCUUCCAAAUUGUCAAUACUUCACAUCCAAAUUCCCUGAAUAAAAUGUAGUUUUAGCCUGCUUUGAAGCCCCAGAUUCUAGUGCAAAUCUGCAGCAUCUUGCUCCCAUCUUGGAUCAGAUGACUUCUCUUCAGAGCCUUACGUGGAGGUAAAUCAGAUUUGUUUGCAUUUGUAUGUUUGAAAAACUUUACAUGUACAUGUAAAACUACAUGUAAUAUACAUGUACAAGUACAUGUGUACACUAAAUGUUAAUGCAUACGUGGAUAUUGGCAGUUGAUGAAAGUGUAUCAGGUAUGAUCAUUUCCCUGACUAUCAUGUCACUGUGCAGUUACGGUCUUUUGUACAGUUAUGGUAUCAUGUAUCAUGUGAUGUGAUAAAUGUAUAUGUACCUGUACAUGCAUAUACCUGUACAUAAAACUGUGCAGUAAAAGACUGGCUUUUUAUCUCUAACGGAAAGAAAAAAGUAUGUCUCUUCGAAUUUGCAGACUAUGAACUUCCGACAAAAUUUUACGGGAUUUGCAGUUGCAACGGUAAGAUUUUGUGUUUUGUUAUUUGUAUGAUUACUGUGUCACUGUUCCAUUUUUAAAUCCCUGAAAAUGCAUCUAUUUGGAGUAAUAAAAUGUUUUUAUUUCUUUUUUCACAGCUCGUUACUGUUGCCUGUAUUGUCACACAUCAAAGCAACAAAUGCAGGUGCCCACUCAUGAGAGAGAUACCCUAGUCAAGCCCCGAACAGUAGACACAUUGGCCUAUGAUUUUCAAGUCUACAUGGAGGAUAUAUCAUACAAAAGCCAUGCGAAGGUCAUCUCUCACCAGGUCAAGGUCAUGUGUGCAAUGUUAACUUCUAAUCCAAAACUGUCUUGAAUGCCUGUAAAUAAAAAUAUUUAAUGUGGAAUUGAACUAGCCUUAUUGCAAAUUGUGUUGGUAACUUUCUUUCAAAAGAAAGUCUUAAAAUUUUACUCAUUGUAUCUCUUAUGACAUAUGAAUUCAAUUUUUAUGGAGUGCCUUGGUUUCUUUCGAAUGCAUGUACAUGUAUGUUGUAUCGCCAACACUCCAUAUAUCCCUUGAGGUAUACAAGAAAUUGUUUGACAUAUUUGAGAGUGGAUGCCAUGCAAUUGAGUUGAAGCUGUACAAAGUAUCGAGCACACAAUGAGGAAGAGGACUCGCUUCAAGAGAACACCAAUUUUGAUGAACAGGUUGCUGCUGAGUGUGCAUGAUAACAGAAACUUGACAAGGAAAAGGCCGGAAUGGACGUGAAGCUCACAGCUUGAAGAGAAAUUACCUCCUCAAGUACUCUAGAACAACUUGAAAGAUUCCAAUUAAGCAUUUCAGGGAAUGGCAAAUAAGGAAACUGGUACGCUUGAUCUACCGUAUGGCACUGGUCCUAUAGCCGGCUGCUAGGACAAAGUCCUUCGGAAGCAUCACGUAUGCAGACAAGCUUACCGUGAAAGGCUUUGUGAGAAAUCUUGCCCACAAGUGUUACCAGGUGCACGUCAUCACUGACCUUACCUCUGCACCAUCGGAACUAAUGAACAACCUUCCAUGUCACACUCUCCCACUGGGACGCCAUCAAGCUUUGAUUUAAGAGACGGCGGCCCCGGGCGAAGAUUUCACGAUAUCUUUUCAAAGUUUGCUGCUGUUUAAAGUGCACUCAACCACACUCGAGCAGUUACACCUGCAGACUUGGAUCACACUGAUAUGACACAUUAUGCUUGUCUCUUAGUCCUAAGACUCGAGACUACCGUUUACAAUUUCUAAAUACCUGUAUUUAUUUUCUUUGACAGAUAAGUGUAUCAAGGAGUUUAUGGCCACAUACAGAGGAAUGUUGCCACAGGAAUCCAUUACCCCGAAGAUGUAUCUCCUUGAAAACCAUGCCUUGUAGCAGCUUUCCAGAUUCGGAUUUGGGUUUGGGCUGUGAAACGAACAAGGCGGUGAAUUGAUCCAUACGGAAUUCAACCUAACAGGUCGUGUAGUUCAUGGCAUCAAAGAUCAUGUUAAGCGUCUUCUGACUACCAUGAGAAGACACCACACCAGUACGCUUUCCGUAAUUCAAGCUCAAGUAGCUUGCAAAGUGAAAGGAAUAAAGAGGAGUAAUGGAGAUUUGUUUCAAAUGUAAUGUAAAUAAUGUGACAAAAAUAUGCUUUUUGCAGUGUAUUGAUUAGCCCAAUACUGACACAUUUCAUCUGAUUUAAGGUUAAAGAUCAGUUUCAUAAGAUAUGCCACAGGCAAAAAAUGGGAUUUGCAGUUGUAAUCAGAAUACAUGUACCUUAUCAUUAGCCUGACUGGUACACGCAUAUGUACAUGUACGUGUAGUGCUAAUCUAGAUUAUCAUGCUCCACAUUUGAAUACACACAGAUAACUGUUCACACAAAGGGUACCUAGAAUGGAUGGCAAAAAUUGAACUUAAAACAUUCAGGACGAAACUGCAGAAAAAAAUGGAACACGAGUCAUUUAUAUUGCAGUGAUAGGACAUGUGCAUACGUGUAUUCAGGACAUGUUCAGUGGCACUGGUUGGUCAAUAAUCCCUAAGCCUACAUUUUGUUCAUGUGAAGAGGUAUAUUUCAAUUGAAAAAAUAAACAGGUUGACAUGAAGUUCGAAACACAUAAUAACAUUUCUACAUUUUUCUUUUUAAAUCAUGUCUCCUAUAUGCAGGCUGGCCUACAUCAAACUUCGGGACCCCCCACUCCCAAGUUUCCCCCAAACCAUAGGCAGUGUUGUCUGAACUGCACUAACCCGGUGUGGGGGAGACUUGGAUGUGUAAAUAUUGAGAAAUUCUGACUUUCCUACUGAUAAACCAGCCCGGUAAAUUUGAAUACUCCGUGGUGUAUUUCAUGUUUUAAAGCACAGUUCCCCUCAUAUGCAUGUACAUUUGUAUUACCAUCAAAGCUAAAAUCUGUGCCCUCUCUUCACAUCAUCAACCCUAUCCAACAUGUCACAGUCAUCUACGUGUACAAGUACCAAGGGGCGUCCACAAGUUACAAUGUAGGCUUAGAUUUUCCUUCGUUUAAGCAACGGCGUACCCAAAUUAAAUAUUCCCACCGCCCAUGCCCCACCGAGUAUUAACGUUGAACCCAUACACGUACA